GAGCGGUAGGGAUCUUUCGGGAUCCUGAGAUCGGCGUACGGGUGCGGAACACGUGUGCAACCUGCCUUUAUCUGGGGGAUAGCCUUUCGAAAGGAAGAUUAAUACCCCAUAAUAUAUUAAGUGGCAUCGGUUGAUAUUGAAAACUCCGGUGGAUAGAGAUGGGCACGCGCAAGAUUAGAUAGUUGGUGAGGUAACGGCUCACCAAGUCGAUGAUCUUUAGGGGGCCUGAGAGGGUGAUCCCCCACACUGGUACUGAGACACGGACCAGACUCCUACGGGAGGCAGCAGUGAGGAAUAUUGGACAAUGGGUUAGCGCCUGAUCCAGCCAUCCCGCGUGAAGGACGACGGCCCUAUGGGUUGUAAACUUCUUUUGUACAGGGAUAAACCUACUCUCGUGAGAGUAGCUGAAGGUACUGUACGAAUAAGCACCGGCUAACUCCGUGCCAGCAGCCGCGGUAAUACGGAGGGUGCAAGCGUUAUCCGGAUUUAUUGGGUUUAAAGGGUCCGUAGGCGGAUCUGUAAGUCAGUGGUGAAAUCUCACAGCUUAACUGUGAAACUGCCAUUGAUACUGCAGGUAUUGAGUAAGGUAGAAGUGGCUUGGAAUAAGUAGUGUAGCGGC
rnacentral:rRNA from 1 species